rnacentral:rRNA from 1 species
AGAGUUUGAUCCUGGCUCAGAUUGAACGCUGGCGGCAUGCCUUACACAUGCAAGUCGAACGCGAAAGCGGGGCAACCCGCAAGUAGAGUGGCGAACGGGUGAGUAAUACAUCGGAACAUGUCCAGUAGCGGGGGAUAACCUGUCGAAAGAUAGGCUAAUACCGCAUACGAUCUACGGAUGAAAGCAGGGGACCGCAAGGCCUUGCACUAUUGGAGUGGCCGAUGUCGGAUUAGCUAGUUGGUGAGGUAAAGGCUUACCAAGGCGACGAUCCGUAGCUGGUCUGAGAGGACGAUCAGCCACACUGGAACUGAGACACGGUCCAGACUCCUACGGGAGGCAGCAGUGGGAAUUUUGGACAAUGGGCGCAAGCCUGAUCCAGCCAUGCCGCGUGAGUGAAGAAGGCCUUCGGGUUGUAAAGCUCUUUCGGCGGGGACGAAACGGUUCGCACCAAUACUGCGGACUAAUGACGGUACCCGCAUAAGAAGCACCGGCUAACUACGUGCCAGCAGCCGCGGUAAUACGUAGGGUGCAGGCGUUAAUCGGAAUUACUGGGCGUAAAGCGUGCGCAGGCGGUCUGUUAAGACAGGUGUGAAAUCCCCGAGCUCAACUUGGGAAUUGCGCUUGUAACUGGCAGGCUAGAGUGUGGCAGAGGGGGGUGGAAUUCCAGGUGUAGCAGUGAAAUGCGUAGAUAUCUGGAGGAACACCGAUGGCGAAAGCAGCCCCCUGGGUUAACACUGACGCUCAGCACGAAAGCGUGGGGAGCAAACAGGAUUAGAUACCCUGGUAGUCCACGCCCUAAA